AGUAGUAGUAGCAGUAGUAGUAGUAGUAGUAGUAGUAGUAGUAGCAGUAGCGUAGUAGUGGUAGUAUUAGUAGUAGUUGCAGUAUUAGUAGUAGUAGUUGUAGUAGUUGUUGUUGUUGUUGUUGAGCUCUAUAAUAUUUCGUAUACAAUCCAGUCAGCAGGGAAGCAAAGGCAUGAACAUUAUUUUGCACUGUAAUAAUAUUAAACUUGAGAUUUCUAAGGUCUGUAUGACGGAACACGAUAGUUCAGAGGUUAAGUACCACGCAGUUAUGGUUGUUCACGAUGCAUGGUAGUUUUGAUGCGACAGGCGUGCGUUUUGUUCAAGGACAUCACCUCACUGCAAAUUGCGGUCAUGUACUACUUAUUGAUGACAACUGCUGACUGCUGGCAUUAUAGACCAUAACCUGAAGCAUUUCGCCACACCUCCGCUACUUAGCUGCAGUUAUACGAGUGUUUAAGAGUAUUUUUACGGUUCUAGUGAUAGGAAGAUUUCUACAUUAUGAACAAGAGAGAACACGAAUGAUCAUCCCAACGGCCUUUGAAAAGAAUCGUGGUGAGAGAGCAAAGCGUUUCAGAAUACUAGGCGGUGUGUGAAGAUCCUUACGCAAUAUUCUGUAUCUCCAGACACGCUUUAUGCAAGCUCCCCGCUGUACGAUGCUUUUCUGACCCGAAGUAGUUGUUGAUUCAGGUCCGUAUUCAAGAAAUGCUUCUCUCUCUCUCUCUCACCACGACUAUUUUCGAAGGUCACAGAGAUGACUAGCCGGGUUCUCAAGAGUGUUUCUCCUGUUAACAAUGUAAAAAUCAUCCUUAAAAUCCCAUGUAACUUCAACUGGAGCCUUUUGAAAGUAGCGGAGGUGCGGUGGAAAAGUGCUUCAGAACAUGAUCCAUGAACUCUGAACCAAGGGCCCGUUUCGCUGAGACCAUCACAAGUGUCGGAGGCGCGGCGCGUGCAUGACACCUCCACCCAGCUCCUUUUAGACUGUUUCCAUGAGGAUUCCAAGAUGCCUGAGUGGGGGUGGUGUGCUGGGUUUGGUCCAUCAGUGUGGCUGCGUCUGUCCAGGCUGGUGGUGGGUAGUCUCCACAUUGUGGCUGCGUCUGUCCAGGCUGGUGAUGGGGAGUCUCCAUCCACAUUAGCAGCACAUGUUCCUGCACAGAGCAGGAACAAGAGGACUUAAGAGUGGCCACACAGGGAGCAUUCACCACAAAGAGCCACUAGACCCUCAUGUGGGAGAACCAGCUUUAAAUUCCUCACAUGUGCAGGUCUCCAGCUCAUUGUAGGUGGUAUAACA